GCGAGUGUGGUAUAACGGCAUUACGUAAGCUUCCCAAGCUUGAAACGAGGGUUCGACUCCCUUCACUCGCU
rnacentral:tRNA from 1 species